GCCGACGAAGCGCAGAAGACGCCGUCGAAAUGCCGCCUCCUUUUCUGCGCCGUAGAAGACCGAGAGAGAGGGAGCUAGGGUUGCGUUGGGUUAUGGACUUAUGGUUGGGGUGGGCCGGUGGGGGCUGCUGUUGGGCCGGCUGCUGCUGUGCUGCUGCUGGGCCGGCAAAAAAUUCGGCCUGCCGCUAAAUUGAGCCCACUUUAGCGGCUAUCUCCGGAUAUCUCCAGCUAAGAGCUGUUUUCAUUCCAUAGCGCAAAAAGUUGUAUAUCUUAGCUUUUUUCUUGUAUAGCAGCUAUCUCCGGCUAUAGCUUCAGCUAUAGCAAGCUAUAGCCAGAGAUUCAAAACUUUGCUUUUGACCGCCACCAACCCAUUCAAUUUGGCGAUGGCCGGCGCUGAGAGAGGUAUGGCGUGUCGCUGCCGCCCUUGCCCGUGCGGGUACGAGGCGAGUGUUGGAGGUGCGGCGGCUGGACUGAAAAGUGGUGCCUUGGUGGUGGUGGCUGAAGCGGGGAGGAGGGAGGCGGCAGGUUUCGGUUUGAGGUCGUGAAUGACUGCGGGCCUCUUCUACUGCCCCGCGGGUCAUUU
rnacentral:lncRNA from 1 species